AUUACUCUUUAGAAAACACGUAUAUAUUUUUCUCUGAACGUUGAGCAACCACAUUCUCUUGCGUUCCUUGAGCUUUAAGUCUUCCUCUGGCAAUUUGAAAAAUGACUGGACUUAAUAUUUUUAUUGGCGUACUGGUUUUACUAGUGUCCGGCACUACUUUUGAUAAGCAUGCCGUUUGCGGAAAUGUGGAGACCAUAGAUGGCCAGUUGGUCCGGAUUGUUGACAAGGUGUACCCCUGGAGAUGACAGUACAUGUCCCAGCGGAAAAUGCUGUGUGAAAGAAGGU
rnacentral:lncRNA from 1 species